rnacentral:rRNA from 1 species
AGUAAAUAGAUACCCCGGUAGUCCACGCCGUAAACGAUGAGUACUAGGUGUAGGAGGUAUCGACUCCUUCUGUGCCGCAGUUAAACACAAUAAGUACUCCGCCUGGGAAGUACGGUCGCAAGAUUAAAACUCAAAGGAAUUGACGGGGGCCCGCACAAGCAGCGGAGCAUGUGGUUUAAAUUCGAAGCAACGCGAAGAACCUUACCUAGACUUGACAUCCCCUGAAUAACGUAGAGAUACGCGAAGCCCUUCGGGGCAGGGAGACAGGUGGUGCAUGGUUGUCGUCAGCUCGUGUCGUGAGAUGUUGGGUUAAGUCCCGCAACGAGCGCAACCCUUAUCAUUAGUUGCUACCAUUUAGUUGAGCACUCUAGUGAGACUGCCCGGGUUAACCGGGAGGAAGGCGGGGAUGACGUCAAAUCAUCAUGCCCCUUAUGUCUAGGGCUACACACGUGCUACAAUGGUGAGAACAACAAGAUGCAAUACCGCGAGGUGGAGCAAAACUUCAAAACUCAUCUCAGUUCGGAUUGUAGGCUGAAACUCGCC